UGUGGUAGGAACUCCAGUGGUGAACGGC
rnacentral:piRNA from 1 species